CACGAACGGGGUCACACACACACUGCCUCUCGAAUCACAAUAUCUAUGCAUUCAGUGAUACAGGAUACAGAGAAUGAGAGAGGACACAAUACAAGAGUCCCCCCGUCAAAUAUGGCCUUCAUAGAAAAUGGGAAACUGAUGGAUGUCAAGUGAAAUAACCCAAGUCAACAAGUGCUCCCCCGUUUUCUAUGCAACGUCCCACCGUGUUUUAUGAGGGAAUACUUAAGAGAAAUCACUACAAAUAUUUAGACAGGUCCUUAAAUGUACUUGUCUGGUUUUAGAGGCGAGAAUAUAAUGAAAACUUGUACGAUUUUCACCUCCAUCGUCCUGUGAGGGGAUAAACUAGUCAAGAUUUUUAGUUAUCGAUCUUUCUUCCUCCGUAACUCCAGGAAGGAAAGGAAGAAACGAAGAGGAAAAAAGGAAAACAAGAGAAUUGGUUGUGUUCUUCAGAAUCAUUGUUUUGCUGGAAAGAAAACGAGAAGAGGGAAGAAAGAAAACGGGAGGAAAUAGUUACAGAUUUUUUCCCUGCCAAUGGUCUUCUCUCCUGUGUUAACCUCAGCGUGCACCGGCUUACCUCCACACCUCCAUCCUCCUCCUCCACCUCCUCCACCUCUUCCUCCUCCUCCUCCACCUCCCUUACGCGUGCAUCUCUUCACAUCUCCCACACACAAACAUUAUUAGGCCUCUUUUUUUAGGCUCUUUUCCGCCCUUGAAGUACGUCGUUUCUCUCUCUCUCUCUCUCUCUCUCUCUCUCUCUCUCUCUCUCUCUCUCUCUCUCUCUCUCUCUCUCUCUCUCUCUCUCUCUCUCUCUCUCUA